rnacentral:lncRNA from 1 species
UUCAGGGCCAGCAUGGUGGCUGCAUGGUCAUCAGUGACCCAAGCUAUUUCUGUUUUCUGUUUUACUAUCCUAUUGCAAGACUUCUGUCUUCAAAGUUUACCUUUUGGUCCAGGAGGAAUUCCAGCGGUUUCAGAUAGUGGGAAGGCCAAAGGGAUGCACCUUACAACUGAGUCAGCCCUGUCUAAGCAGAGUCCCACACAGUCAUUCCUUUCAUCUUAGCCAGAACUUCCAUGGCCACACCAUGCAGGCAUGUGAAGCUGGGAAAUGCAGUCAUAAAGAGUGUCACAUUGCGCCCCCCAAAAAAUUGAGGUUCAGAUACUGAGAAAUAUGGAGAAUGCAUAUUGAAUGGCAAGUCACUAUCUCUGCCAUAGCUAGAAAAAACUCCUCACAACCUAUGUCUUAUACCUUCCCAAACCACAUAGGCAAACGACGAAAAUCCAAUCCCAAACCCCUUGUUCUGAGUGAAGCUAGAAAGCAGUUAAUGAUCUACAGACUACCUCAGGUUCUCCGGCUGCACCUUAAAAGAUUCAGGUGGUCUGGCCGUAAUCAUCGAGAGAAGAUUGGGGUCCAUGUCGUCUUUGACCAGGUAUUAACCAUGGAACCUUACUGCUGCAGGGACAUGCUCUCCUCUCUUGACAAAGAGACCUUUGCCUAUGAUCUCUCCGCAGUGGUCAUGCAUCACGGGAAAGGGUUUGGCUCAGGACACUACACAGCCUAUUGCUACAACACAGAGGGAGGUUUUUGGGUCCACUGCAAUGA